rnacentral:rRNA from 1 species
AACGAACGCUGGCGGCAGGCUUAACACAUGCAAGUCGAACGAGAUCUUCGGAUCCAGUGGCAGACGGGUGAGGAACACGUGGGAACAUCCCUUUCAGUUCGGAAUAACUCAGGGAAACUUGAGCUAAUACCGGAUACGUCCUUCGGGAGAAAGAUUUAUCGCUGAAAGAUUGGCCCGCGUCUGAUUAGCGAGUUGGUGAGGUAACGGCUCACCAAGGCUACGAUCAGUAGCUGAUCUGAGAGGAUGAUCAGCCACAUUGGGACUGAGACACGGCCCAAACUCCUACGGGAGGCAGCAGUGGGGAAUAUUGGACAAUGGGCGCAAGCCUGAUCCAGCCAUGUCGCGUGAGUGAUGAAGGCCUUCGGGUUGUAAAGCUCUUUUGUCCGGGAAGAUAAUGACUGUACCGGAAGAAUAAGCCCCGGCAAACUUCGUGCCAGCAGCCGCCGUAC